UGAAGGUUUUGUGGGAUGUUGGCAUCACAGUCUCUUCAUUGUUCUGUUCCUCACAGCAUCUAUCUGUUGACCAGCCUCCCUCUGUGAGGACUCCUGAGGUCCCAGAUUCUUCAAUUCUUGUCUCCUGGUUUUCUUCCUUUCUCACGGACUCCUGUUCUAGGUGGAGUGAGCCAGGACCAUAGGGAGCCCCUCAAUGAGCUCUGGAGGGAGCCGAGAGGCCACAUCACGAACACGUGUGCCUGGCUGCCUGGAUGGCCCAGUGAAGGGUGAGGGGUAUUGAAGUAGACUGGGAGGUCUGGAAACUCUGGGAAGAUCAUGGAGGAAUUGUAUGUCACGGGCAGGAAUCUGGGAAACAUUGUAUUCCUAGGGUGCCUCAGAGUUGAGGAAGAUUGAGAAAGGAAAUCUUGUGUCAGAUGAUAUGAUAGUUUGGGACUCACUGAGGGUAGGGUCAUGAGGGACGAUGCUAAGAGCACCUGGUAACUGUGUAGUGUACACACCUGCUAGUUACCAUAGGUCACCUGCUAAUUACCAUAGGUCACCUGUCAAUCACCACAGAUCACCUGCCAAUCACCACAGAUCACCUGUCAAUCAUCAUAGAUGUAGCUGGGAAAAAGGAGGCUGUGCUGGGGAAUGCCACCUGCAUCAGACCACUAGGUCCCAGGGUCUGUCCUGGCCUCUGAAUCCUACUUCUCAUUUCUCUGGACCACACACAGACAGACAUACUGGGGUGGGAGGAGGAUUUUUCUUCUUUACUGAGGUAAUGGGAUUGCCUGUAUGCUAUCGGGUCACAGUCGUUUAUAUUUUUAUUUUUGAAGCUGCUAGGAAUGGACCUCGCGCAUGCUAAGCAUGUGUUCUGCCACAGAGCCACAUGCCCAGCUCAAGUCACACUAUCUGUAGCCACUCUUGUUCCUGGGAAGUCGUAGUGGUCAUGGGGUAGCCAAAGCACAGUGAAAUCUGAGACCAUGUAAGGGUCUUAUGUGUGCUGUCACGUGCCAUGAUGAGUCACAGCUAAGGGUGAUCUUGAAGAGGCAGAGUCAAUGCGUCCGGCUCCUCUUAGACGUCUAGCUUCCAGACCUGGGAACCCAAUAAUCUCUUUUCUUUAUGGAGGACCUAACUGAAGGCAUUUUCUAUAUAAGUGAAAACUGGACAACAUGAAUCCCAAGAAGCAAAGUGUAUUCUGUCUGUCUUCCCUGGUUGAUUUUCUUUCGAGAUAUUUUCAGAGAUCCAUCCAGAGGUGUUGUUCAUUCCUCUGUGUGGGAACACCAGACCUUGAGCAGAGACCCACUUCCCCUUCUGCCUGGGAGUAGGCAGCUGUAAGACAAUGUUUAGUAAAAACAUGUUUACU